rnacentral:rRNA from 1 species
UACGUAGGGAGCAAGCGUUGUCCGGAAUCAUUGGGCGUAAAGCGCGCGUAGGCGGCCCUGUAAGUCCGUUGUGAAAAGUCAAAGGCUCAACCUUUGAAAGCCGAUGGAUACUGCAGGGCUAGAGUCCGGAAGAGGCGAGUGGAAUUCCUGGUGUAGCGGUGGAAUGCGCAGGAUAUCAGGAGGAACACCAAUAGCGAAGGCAGCUCGCUGGGACGGUACUGACGCUAAGGCGCGAAAGCGUGGGAGCGAACG